rnacentral:rRNA from 1 species
CGCGCAGGCGGCCAAACAAGUCAGGGGUGAAAGCCCAGAGCUCAACUCUGGAAUUGCCUUUGAAACUUUUUGGCUGGAGUACGGGAGAGGUGAGUGGAAUUCCCAGUGUAGAGGUGAAAUUCGUAGAUAUUGGGAAGAACACCGGUGGCGAAGGCGGCUCACUGGCCCGUUUCUGACGCUCAUGCGCGACAGCGUGGGGAUCAAACAGGAUUAGAUACCCUGGUAGUCCACGCCGUAAACUAUGGACGCUAGCCGUUGGCCAGCUUGCUGGUCAGUGGCGCAGCUAACGCAUUAAGCGUCCCGCCUGGGGAGUACGGCCGCAAGGUUGAA